AUUGAACGCUGGCGGCAUGCCUUACACAUGCAAGUCGAACGGCAGCAUGAUCUAGCUUGCUAGAUUGAUGGCGAGUGGCGAACGGGUGAGUAAUACAUCGGAACGUGCCCUGUAGUGGGGGAUAACUAGUCGAAAGAUUAGCUAAUACCGCAUACGACCUGAGGGUGAAAGUGGGGGACCGCAAGGCCUCAUGCUAUAGGAGCGGCCGAUGUCUGAUUAGCUAGUUGGUGGGGUAAAGGCCCACCAAGGCGACGAUCAGUAGCUGGUCUGAGAGGACGAUCAGCCACACUGGGACUGAGACACGGGCCAGACUCCUACGGGAGGCAGCAGUGGGGAAUUUUGGACAAUGGGGGCAACCCUGAUCCAGCAAUGCCGCGUGUGUGAAGAAGGCCUUCGGGUUGUAAAGCACUUUUGUCCGGAAAGAAAUCGCACUUACUAAUAUUAGGUGUGGAUGACGGUACCGGAAGAAUAAGGACCGGCUAACUACGUGCCAGCAGCCGCGGUAA
rnacentral:rRNA from 1 species